GGGGGUAUAGCUCAGUGGUAGAGCAUUUGAUUGCAGAUCAAGAGGUCCCCAGUUCAAAUCUGGGUGCCUGUA
rnacentral:tRNA from 1 species